GAUGAAGAACGUAGCGAAAUGCGAUAAGUAGUGUGAAUUGCAGAAUUCAGUGAAUCAUCGAAUCUUUGAACGCACAUUGCGCCCCUUGGUAUCCCGAGGGGCAUGCCUGUUCGAGCGUCAUUUCACCACUCAAGCCUGGCUUGGUGUUGGGCGACGUCCUCUUUGGGGACGCGCCUCGAAACGCUCGGCGGCGUGGCACCGGCUUUAAGCGUAGCAGAAUCUUUCGCUUUGGAAGUCGGGGCCCCGUCUGCCGGAAGACCUGCUCGCAAGGUUGACCUCGGAUCAGGCAGGGAUACCCGCUGAACUUAAGCAUAUCAAUAAGCGAAGGA
rnacentral:misc_RNA from 1 species